ACAAGCGGCCACCUCUAGAAAGAGGAAUGGAAGUUCCUCAAGCAAGCAAGAAUCCCAGGGGGAGCUCAAAACCUUGACCGAUCAACUGCCUGUUGCACCUUGCAAAAUGCACUGCCACUGGGCGCUCAUGCCAACGUAAACCCAGCUGAAAACAAAAACCUGCUGCAAAGGCAUCAGCAGCUGCAGGUACGAGCAUACCAUCUGCCUGUGGUCCCUCCACCAAGCCCCUACAACAUCCGAAUGUGUAGUGCAGGGCGGCCAGGGCCCAUGGGCAGCCUGACCCUCUGGUUUAAGCAACUGUGGGGUUUCCCACUCCUGUAACAUUUGCAGAUGCUGGAUGAACAAGCGUUGGUGGAUCCCAGGAGCUGUUUCGAAGCAGUGAGGAGGAACGAUUGCGUGUGAGCAUCUUUCCCUUCCUUCCCCGAGCUGCCUCAUGCCUGCUUGACCACCGUGAAUUCCCAAAUUCUCUGCUGCUCGAGCAACCUCUCGUCCCUCGCCUAUGGCAUCUGUCGCUCCGUUUCCCAGGGGAGUUUGUUGGCCUUUCUGGAGGUGUCAACCUGAUGGGCACAUUAUUGGUAUUGUCAUCACUAGUUAUUUUCGAUUGUGGAAUUCGACACUGCAGCCAUGUACUUCCACCAGCAGCCUCAGAAAGCACAGAUGGUUGAAAGGAUUAACUUGCCCAGURAUUUCCAGUUAUCAGCAACGGAAAACCCAACUUCUAGCUGAGAGCUCACAGCUCCUGUCAUUUUCCAGCGCUGUAACAGCUGCUGGGACCUGUUAUUACUUCAGCAAAGGCAAAUAUGAAGUGUGAGAGGUCUUCAAAAAAGACCUUCAGCAGUUCCCAGUGAUUUAGAAACUGAGAGCCAUCCUCAGGCUCUGGCAGAGGGGAGGGCAAACAGCAGAGGCCUUCAGAAGGAAAAUCACKUUGUUGGGUCAGUACCAGUUGUGUGGACUAACUCACGUGUCGCCUUGGCGGGAGCACCUGGGUCCCCACGGCGUUGCAGGUGGCUGUGUAGAGGUGUCUGAGCCCUGGUGUUCAGACACUUGGGCCUCAAAGGGGAGUCCUUCGUAUGCUGUGUUAGAAAAGGGCACUCGCGAAGGCAAUGCCAGAUAGCAGACCGUGGAGAAACCGGAGCCAAACAGUUGGAGGCAAUGAGACCUGUACUAUAUUUGAAAUCCUUCUUCUCUCUGGGGCUGGCUGCCACCGCCGUCCUUGUGGGACUCUGAGUGAAGGCCCAGCAGGAGAGGAAAAAUAAUAAAAAUUUAAAAAGGCAGGUUUCA
rnacentral:lncRNA from 1 species